UACAUUUUACGACAGUCAGUUUUUCUUUAUGCGUGAAAGAAGGAAUGUACAUAACAUGUAACUCCUUCGCGUUGUUAAUUUUUGUCAUGGUAGAAACUGAUUUCUUGUCGCUUCGAGAAUAAUGGCAUAUAGCAUCUGUAUUAACAAUGCGCUGAUUGAAUUUCUGCUAAAUAAGUCUGCAUCGGACUGCAUGCAGACAAUUUAUCUGUUACGAGAGUUACCAUGACAAACGGUUAAUUUAAAAAAGGAGCGACUACCGGAAGAGAACAAAUGGCUGAGUCGACUGUUUUAAAUACUUUUAAUUUUCUGUACUGACGUUUUCAAUAUUUGUCGCUUCGGUAACUCAGAGACUGCCGAGGAAUGUUGGACCCAGACGAGAGGUGCAACAAUAAUGGGCGAUAAAAUAAAACUCCAGAAGGCGUUUAAGACAGAGAAAAAGAAAGAAAAUAUGGUCGAGAGGUUUUGUGUUUACCUCAUAUUGCGAGAAAGAACAGCAUGUGUGAAGCAACCGGAAGCCAUACGCCGAAGAAAGGCAUCAGGAAUCAUCUCCUACAAGGGAACCUUACCGCAACAUUAUGCUGACGCACGCAAGGAUCGCGGAUCGAAGACGCAUAGAUAUCGGUCGUCGGUGGGAGUCACGCGAGGGGUGCAAACUUGAUGAACUCCCAUAAGAGAAGGGAUGACAGGGCCUGGAUAUCGAUCGCUCUUCGAUAUCACCGAUCCAACGUGGAGCUUUACUUUGGAUGUAUAGCGAAUGCGCUAAUAGAUCAGCAGGACAUACUUAGCGUUCACUUUAUAGCCAGAAUACGAUUUCUGUUUAGUUAGCGACAUUACAUAUGUCUUAAUUCUGAAUUCAGCUAACGGAAAAUUUGCGCUUCCCAACCAACUAAAUGAACUGGAAAAUAUAAGAACUCAUAAUCACUCUGAAUCUCAACCAACCAAACCUAGAACUGCCUUAUUGGAAGCAUCGUAAUAGUUUAACGAGUUAGCACAAUGUUCACAGACAGACCGGCUAAACCAGGCGACCGCCAGCAGAUGGAUGAACUGCACGAAC